UCGAACGGUGAAGCCUUUCGGGGUGGAUCAGUGGCGAACGGGUGAGUAACACGUGGGCAAUCUGCCUCGUACUUUGGGAUAACCCGGGGAAACUCGGGCUAAUACCGGAUAGGACUGCUGGGCGCAUGCUUGGUGGUGGAAAGCUCCGGCGGUACGAGAUGAGCCCGCGGCCUAUCAGCUUGUUGGUGGGGUGAUGGCCUACCAAGGCGACGACGGGUAGCCGGCCUGAGAGGGCGACCGGCCACACUGGGACUGAGACACGGCCCAGACUCCUACGGGAGGCAGCAGUGGGGAAUAUUGCACAAUGGGCGCAAGCCUGAUGCAGCGACGCCGCGUGAGGGAUGACGGCCUUCGGGUUGUAAACCUCUUUCAGCAGGGAAGAAGCCUCGGUCUUUUGAUGGGGGUGACGGUACUUGCAGAAGAAGCACCGGCUAACUACGUGCCAGCAGCCGCGGUAAUACGUAGGGUGCGAGCAUUGUCCGGAAUUAUUGGGCGUAAAGAGCUCGUAGGCGGCUUGUUGCGUCGGAUGUGAAAGCCCGGGGCUUAACCCCGGGUCUGCAUUCGAUACGGGCAGGCUAGAGUUCGGUAGGGGAGACUGGAAUUCCUGGUGUAGCGGUGAAAUGCGCAGAUAUCAGGAGGAACACCGGUGGCGAAGGCGGGUCUCUGGGCCGAUACUGACGCUGAGGAGCGAAAGCGUGGGGAGCGAACAGGAUUAGAUACCCUGGUAGUCCACGCCGUAAACGUUGGGAACUAGGUGUGGGCGACAUUCCACGUUGUCCGUGCCGUAGCUAACGCAUUAAGUUCCCCGCCUGGGGAGUACGGCCGCAAGGCUAAA
rnacentral:rRNA from 1 species